CUCUAGGGAGACUGCCGGUGACAAACCGGAGGAAGGUGGGGAUGACGUCAAGUCAUCAUGGCCCUUAUGGGUAGGGCUACACACGUGCUACAAUGGUCGGUACAGAGGGCUGCAAAUCCGCGAGGACAAGCUAAUCUCACAAAACCGAUCGUAGUCCGGAUUGGAGUCUGCAACUCGACUCCAUGAAGUCGGAAUCGCUAGUAAUCGUAGAUCAGAAUGCUACGGUGAAUACGUUCCCGGGCCUU
rnacentral:rRNA from 1 species